rnacentral:rRNA from 1 species
UUAUAUAAAAGUUAAUCUUUCAUAUUUUUAUAUUAUGAAUUUAUUUUUUAAGUUAAAAAACUUAAAUUUUUUUAUAGGACGAGAAGACCCUAUAGAGCUUAAUUUUGUUUGUAUAAAUUUUUUAUAAGUAAAGUUUGGUUGGGGAGACUUUUAUUUUUUUAACAAUUGAUUAUUUUUUCAAUAAUUUUUGAUUUUUUUGAUCCAAUAUUAUGUUGAUUAUAAGAAUAAGUUACCUUAGGGAUAACAGCGUGAUUUAGUUGGAGAGUACGUAUUGAUAAUUAAGAUUGCGACCUCGAUGUUGAAUUAAGAUAAGGACUAGGGGUAGAUUUUUGUGUUUUUAGGUCUGUUCGACCUAUAUUUUCUUACAUGAUUUGAGUUAAGACCGGUGUGAGCCAGGUCGGUUUCUAUCCUUAAUUUUUAUAAUAACUUUUUAGUACGAGAGGACCAGAGGUUUAGUUAAUAAUUU